rnacentral:lncRNA from 1 species
GCCUAACUCACCUGAGAACCCUCUCUCUCGCUGCUCAUGUCUCCUUAUAAUCAAGUCCAGGCAUUUCUCCCCGCUGUCCGCCUCCUGAAGCUCUUCCCUCUUCUCCAUCUCACACGUCUCCAUCACCCCUCCUCGGGACUAUUCCAGGUGCCCAGGCCAAAGCCUACCAGGGGGCCAGAGAGAAGUGGAGGACUGGAAGUUCUGGCAAGUUCUACCUGGAAGCAGGGGCCAAGAAGCACCUACCCAUGGGGGCCAGUGUCUGGCAGGUCCUUGGAGGCUGCUGUGUUCUCACGCCUCACCACCAGGCCCCAAGACUGCUGUAGAUUCGCACUGUUGGAGUUCACCUUCGGUUUUCCACUUCUCUCAACUUGUGAAGCCGGGACAGAAUAUCACCUUUCAGGAGGCGUGCUGCCUCAUUUGGAGCUGUUAAGAUACGAGAAGCAAAAGCUUAAUUGAUGGAGAGUGACAAGAACUCAGUCCCAUGCCACCCCUAAAAUGAAAAGGCACACGAGGCUGGAAAAUGCAGCCUAACUGCGCGUCCAAGGGGAAGAGGAUCCAGGUGUGGUUAGUAGCUGUCCAAUAUCUUCCCAGCACGUAUAAAGAAUAUACAGAAGCUCGAAUGACUGUUGAGGGAAUAGAAGAUGGAACUUGAGAGGUGGGUUGUGCCAUUUACUGACACGGGGAAGACUGGAGAAGGAGAAGGGGACAGAAAUGAAAGACUCUCAACUAGACAUCACGUUUACAAUGCCUAUCAGCCAGCCAAGCGAAGAACUUAAGUGGACAAUUGGAGAGGGGAAGCUCGUGGUGGGAGGAAAGGAGAGAUUGGGGCUGGAGAUGUAAAAUUUGGAGUUAUCAGGGUGUUGGUAUAUGAAACCAAGAGACUUCAUGAGACCACCUAAUCUCAGUAGAGAAGAGAAGAAUUUUGAAGAUCAUGCUCAGGAACAUUCCAAUAUUUAAUGCUCAGAAAUAAAAAGGGUCUAAGAGGUUAUUAGAUCAAACCCCUCAUCUUUUCAGUGAAGAAACUAAGGCUUAAAUGAUUAAGUUGUUCAUGCAAGAUCACAUAAUUUGUGCUGGCAGAAUUCAGCUACAAUCCAGAUCUUUGGGCUACUUUUGGGCUUCUUCAUCUGUCUUAUAAUCUAAAUAAUAAUUCUGGGGGCCAGCCUGGUGGCGCAGCAAUUAAGUGCCGCUUCUUGGCGGCCUGGAGUUCGCUGGUUUGAAUCCUGGGUGUGGACAUGGCACCGCUUGGCAAAAAGCCAUGCUGUGGUAGGCGUCCCACGUGUAAAGUAGAGGAAGAUGGGCACGGAUGUUAGCUCAGGGCCAGUCCUCCUCAGCAAAAAGAGGAGGAUUGGCUGUAGUUAACUCAGAGUUAAUCUUCUUCUUCAAAAAAAUAAUAAUUCUUGUGGUGAAGAAUAAGAGAGGAGAAUCAAUGAGAUGAAAGAAGAAGGGAAGGGAACAAAUUGUGCUGGAUAAUCCAUCUGCCCCACUUUGUCUGCUCUUCAUCCCACUAAUAGGAGCAGAACACAUUCUCUG